GCAUCUUUUUUCUUUACCUUUCCAUCAUUUUAUCUCACUUCAAACCCUCUUUAAUACCUCCCCUGUUAAUUAUUUUAUCCAUUAUCUUUCAAUCACCUGAACUAGAUCCAGGCCAACUUAGUAAAAAAAUCCCACCGACUUCACUCCAAUAAUCAAGAUCCAGUCAUUAUUCCUGGUUCUUUUGAAGAAGCCUCCUCUCAUUUCCUAUAUUCACUUAACCUUGGAAAUUGCUCCAUCUCUAUCCCUAAUUUAUCUUGUAAGAAAUUUCACCCCAAUUCUCUGGAAAACCUUCCUCCAAACUAAGUUCUGGAUUGUAUCACAAUUGGAGAAGUUUGUGGCCUUUUUUGGUUUAAUUUGGGAUUUUAUUAAUAAAAUCAGUCUAAUACAUGUAGGGCAUAGCCAUUACAAAAACAUAAUGAAAAACGGCCCAAAUCUAAAACAAUCCAAAUAAAAAAUUGGUCCGGUCCAAUAUUUCGACCCGAUUCUUAAAAUGGAGUAGGGUUUCCAAAUCUAUUAGAUAAGCUGAUCUCCCCUUUUCUAUGCCUCCUUCACCAUGCUUUCUAUCACUAAUAUUUAAUUCAUUCUUCUACAUUUGUGGGUGAUAAAUACUGUUCCUUUGUUGCUUCAAGUUAAUGAUUCUAGCUUGCAUGAGUGAAAUCUUCAGUAUGUUUCCAUUAUUUUUGGUGCUAACACGCUAGGUCACGUCUUUUGACCUUUGAUUCCUCCUUUUUCUAUAGCUUGGAUAGAGAUCAUGGGAUGCUUGGACCCGUUGAUAGCUAAAGAGGACCAAAGAGCUCAGUCGGUUGAAUCUGAUCUGACUUGGUGACCCCUAACUUAUUGAAAAUCCCUUUUUGUUGGCUGGUGUAAAUUGGAAGGAUAGUAUUUUCACAUUUUUGUUAAACUUCCUUUUUUGUAAAUAUGAUGAAUGUGAAAGAACCUGCUGUAGCCUUUCCAGUCCUGUUAAACCUUUGCUAAGCUUAGUCUCAAGUAGGGACAUUGGUGCUUGUCACUAUUUAGUAUCUUUCUUCCUGCACUUAGUAGCUGGUUAAAUGCUAUAAAUCUGAACAGUUCUUGCUCAAAUGUUAAGUUAGCUAAGUAAUCUGCAAGUUGGUUGCCUUCCCU